rnacentral:rRNA from 1 species
AAUAGAUACCCUGGUAGUCCACGCCCUAAACGAUGAUAACUCGAUGUUGGCGAUACACAGUCAGCGUCCAAGCGAAAGCGUUAAGUUAUCCACCUGGGGAGUACGCCCGCAAGGGUGAAACUCAAAGGAAUUGACGGGGGCCCGCACAAGCGGAGGAGCAUGUGGUUUAAUUCGAUGAUACGCGAGGAACCUUACCCGGGCUUGAAAGUUACUGAAGGAUCCAGAGACGGAUCCGUCCUUCGGGACAGGAAACUAGGUGCUGCAUGGCUGUCGUCAGCUCGUGCCGUGAGGUGUUGGGUUAAGUCCCGCAACGAGCGCAACCCUAUGUUUAGUUGCCAGCAUGUAGUGGUGGGGACGUCUAAACAGACUGCCUGCGUAAGCAGUGAGGAAGGUGGGGACGACGUCAAGUCAUCAUGGCCCUUACGUCCGGGGCUACACACGUGCUACAAUGGACGGUACAGCGGGCAGCUACACAGCAAUGUGAUGCCAAUCUCGAAAAGCCGUUNACAGUUCGGAUCGGGGUCUGCUAACC